GUCUCCCGGGCCGGGGACGAUGUGGGGCGGGAGGGACUCGUCCUUUGGCGGGCGCCCUCGGUGGGGCAGAGUUUGGAGUUGUCAGGACCCUGAGUCUUCACCCCCAGGUCCACCCGGGUCUGCUUUGCGCGUGCUGUCCUCCCAGUUCUGGGGACCCCGCCGACCUCUCUCGGGUGCCCGGGUGCUGUCCGUCGUCCCCGGUGCUGAACGCUGCGCUGCGGGGAGGGAUUGGAGUCUCCAGGGCAGGUUAAUAUGGACAGCUCUCUCCAUCCUUGGCCUUGACCGCUUCUCCCAGAGCUGGUUCCUGCCCCGUUUGGUGCCUUUCCAGGUGCUGAGAGGAAUGAAGCUCGGUAGGGGAGGAGGCAACUGUGGGACUCCUUUCAAGAGUCACUUCGGAGUUUAUGGACUGAAUCCUGACUGCAGGUGAAUGACGUCCAAGUAGUCCCGUUGCAUACCCACCAUGGAAGGUGACUAUAUUCUGGGGGAAGAAGGAGGACUGUUCCCCCAGAGCGAGAAGAGUCUGAGAAGGGAAGCCUUUGGCUGGACUUCCCUCUCCGUAGCCUCCAACACCCCACAGUCCCCGUCUUCUUUCUCUGGUCACUGGAGCCUAAAAUCCAACCUUGGUCAUCUUGGACAGAGCCAGCUGCCAGGAGAGUCAUGAGUGAGGGGCCCUUGUGAAGAUCAUUUGGAUGAAGAGGCAGCUGACAAUCAACACAGGUCCCUUGUGCUCUGGACUUGAUGGCCAAGUGACUGAUGGACAUGGAAAGGGGUUGGACCACAGAUGCGGCUGCAUGCCAGCUGUAUGUUGGCCAUAGAUACCCAGGAAGCAGGUCCUGCAGGUGUCUUGAGUUUCUCUGUUGGCAGGUGGGGACAGGUCCGGAAGGCCUAGGUCUGGCUGCAAACGUUAUAACUAGGUUGGGAACCAAAGAGUGGGCACUUACCGCGAGCCUCUGAUCAGCCGGUGCCCUGGAAAGGGCUUUGUUCCUCCUUUAGUCCCUGUGGGCUUUACUUCCCUUCUUUUCAAAAAAAGGAGGGUAAAGCAAAACAUCACAGCUGUGGCUGUCAUGUUUGAGACCCUGGGGUCAGAUGUUGGCCCUUUCCACGGCCACGUGGCCAAGAAUUUGAAGCUCGAGAGGCUCUUACACCCCCAACAUUUUAGUCUGAGAAUGAUUCCAAAACUUGUUUCCAGAUCCUGUCCUGUGCUGACAUGAAGCUCAUUUUUGUGUCUAUUUAUUCUAUUUACAGGACCUAUUUAUAGGUUACUUGCUGGGAAACUCUCCAGACCCCCUCCCUCGAGUCUGCGUGCGUAGCCUAUCCCCUUCCUCAAAUUAAAAAACAAAAAAACAAAGCAAAAAGAAAUUCUAAA